AACCAAACAUCUAAAGAUCACUUAAGAAAAUACAAGAGGUUUUGAAAAACCUACUAGUUAUAGUAUGGCUUUAAGUUUUACUAAGCCUUAGAGAAGGUUUUUUCACAAGAAUUUGUGUGAACCACCAUUAGAGGUUGAACACUUAGGCAACUUCUUGGCUUGAAAUCUAUUUGAAAGAUCACCAAAUUGAAGCAAGGGAUUUUUUACAUUCAAGGUAACACUUUUAGCCAAAAUUAUGCAUACUUAUAUAUAUAUGUUGUUUGUAUAAUCUUAUUGAUUGAUAUUGACUUUAGGAAAUUAAAAUUUUUUAAAAAUUUUACUAUUUUAACUCUGAUAAUGAUACAUAAUUUUCUUCAACCAAAUAUCCCAGAGUGAUGUCGUAUCUACCUAACUCUAAUCUAAAUGCCUAUUCGUAAGCCUUCAUAAUGCUGCAUACUUUGGUCAUGUAGUUUUUCUCACCAUAGUCAAACAACAUCUGAUCUAACCCUUAGGUCAUUGGGAUGAACUACUGAGAUCCAUAUUGUCAUCUUACCAUCAACGGUUUAUAACUAGUAGCUUUUUAAAUUCCAAGUAAUGAAACCCAAGGUUGAUCCUUACAACUAUACAUGAUCGAGAUACAAGGCAGCCAAGGCACUUUCUAAGAUAUCCAUAACCCAUUUCUCCUUAGGAUUUUUGAGCAUGACAUCUCGUAAAAAGGUCCAUUGCAUGCCUUCACUAACCCUUUUCUUCUUGUCAAUCACCUGAGCAUUUAUCCUAAUUAUCUUUGCUAACUUUUUUUUAUACCCUGAUGGCUUCUACGCUUUCCAAUAUAUCCUAUCGAGCUUAGGUAGCUUUAGGCGUAGCAAGGCAAAAUACUCCUUUAUAGUGGGAGUCAAGUUUUAUUUGUUGAACAUGAAGCAUCGAUAUACGGGACUCCAAAACCUCACUGUGGCCUUCAGUAACUGAUCAUUAGGCUUCACCCAAACUAGCAAAGCGAUGUCUCCUUACUUUGUUGUGAAAGUUAUUUUCUUCUUUGGUUCCCACUAACUUCAAAUACUAUCUAGAUUUACAUAUCAUUUUGCCUCAAAUACAAAUAACCAUCUCGGAGUCUUGAAACAUAUCCACUUGUCAAACAAUCACCCUCUACUUGUUGCCUAUUUUUCGAUUAUUCCUUAACUUCCUAAAAUACCUAUAAACCAACGAACCCACUUGCAACUAUUGGAAUGCCAUAAAAAUCUCUCUUAAUAAAUUAUUUAAAAUGAAUGUCUUCGAUGUUUUAUGUAAAAAAUGAUGCAUGAAACAAAUAAGAGAAAACAAAAAAAACAUACAAAAAUUAGUGAAAGGAAAACUUUAAAAUGUAAAUGAAAUGUAAAAAAGUAAAAUGAUGUUUCAAACAACUUUGUUUCUCUUUUCUUCUUUUUUUUUCCUUUCUCUUUCUUUUUUUUUCUUCUCUUUUUUUUUUUAAACAAAAAAGAUGGUUAUUCCUAGCAAUCUUCCUUUGUCAACAUUUUUAUUAUAAAAACAAUAGAAACAAAUCAACAAAUUAAUAAAACAUCAAAUAAGAAAGGUAAAAAGUGUUCUUUCAUGUGACUUAUUUAGUGUAAUUUAUAGAGAAAGCAUAUGGCAUAGCUCUACCUAAGGUUAGUUCCAUAAAGUUCUUUAUAUGCUGGGUUGAAAAAAUUACGUGUAUAAAUGCUCCCAAGUUGUUUUUCACUUCAUCAUUUAGCACAGACUAAUGAAACACCCUAAUCUUCACUUAUUACAAGCUAGAGUGAAAAAUGUUCAAUAUGAGUGGGAGUGUUUCACUAGCCAUUAUGGAGGUAUUUACAUUACAAGAGCAUAGCUACUUUACUUCCAUCUAAAAAGGGUUAAAACCUAGGUAUAGAGCUCAUGCUUGCAAUGCAUAUGUAAGUGUGUAAAAAGGAACAUACAAACCUUUCAUAUUUUAUUAAGACACGUUUAUCCUAAAUACCACACAAUUUAUUAAAAACAAGAUAAAUAACAACAGUUUAAAAUAAAUGACAUGAUUGACAUAUACGUGAAAUGAUUUUUUAUUUUUAAAAUUUUAUGCUCUUUGGAAAUAAGAAAAUUGAAGUCAAGACAUUUUUUUUUAUUUCUUUUUAAUUUUUACUUUCCAAGAAAAUAAGAAAAUUAAAAUUAAGAAAUUAAUAUUUAAUAUUAACUAGGACCAUUAAACCAAAACUUAGGAUAACAUGCAUUUAAUCUUGGUUUGACUCUCUAAAAAAAAAUUUUCAAUGGAGUUACCAAGCUAUCGUAAUAUGCAAGUCCGAGAACUUGAUCACUAAACGUGGGAAAACAAGUAAAAACCAUUUUUGAAAAUUUAUCAAAACCAAAGAUUCGCUACCAAUCUUUUUUAGGAUGUGAUUGAUCAUCCAAAAAGUUUAUCCUUUUAAUAAAAUAUUAAAACAAGUUUAAAGUUUAUUACAAAGAUGUUUUGAUCGAUGAAAACAAAGUUUGAAUUCAAGAAUCGGUUAUGCAUGAAGAAAGAUUAGCA
rnacentral:lncRNA from 1 species